AUUGAACGCUGGCGGCAUGCCUUACACAUGCAAGUCGAACGGUAACAGGUCUUCGGAUGCUGACGGGUGGCGAACGGGUGAGUAAUACAUCGGAACGUGCCUAGUAGUGGGGGAUAACUACUCGAAAGAGUGGCUAAUACCGCAUGAGAUCUACGGAUGAAAGCAGGGGAUCGCAAGACCUUGUGCUACUAGAGCGGCCGAUGGCAGAUUAGGUAGUUGGUGGGAUAAAAGCUUACCAAGCCGACGAUCCGUAGCUGGUUUGAGAGGACGAUCAGCCACACUGGGACUGAGACACGGCCCAGACUCCUACGGGAGGCAGCAGUGGGGAAUUUUGGACAAUGGGCGAAAGCCUGAUCCAGCAAUGCCGCGUGCAGGAUGAAGGCCUUCGGGUUGUAAACUGCUUUUGUACGGAACGAAAAGCCCCGGGUUAAUACCCUGGGGUCAUGACGGUACCGUAAGAAUAAGCACCGGCUAACUACGUGCCAGCAGCCGCCGUAA
rnacentral:rRNA from 1 species